UACAGAGGGGGCAAGCGUUGUUCGGAAUUACUGGGCGUAAAGGGUGCGUAGGCGGCCUUCUAAGUCAGACGUGAAAUCCCCGGGCUCAACCCGGGAACUGCGUCUGAUACUGGAUGGCUUGAAUCCGGGAGAGGGAUGUGGAAUUCCAGGUGUAGCGGUGAAAUGCGUAGAUAUCUGGAGGAACACCGGUGGCGAAGGCGGCAUCCUGGACCGGUAUUGACGCUGAGGAGCGAAAGCCAGGGGAGCAAACGGG
rnacentral:rRNA from 1 species